UACGGAGGAUCCAAGCGUUAUCCGGAUUCACUGGGUUUAAAGGGUGCGUAGGAGGGCAGGGAAGUCAGUGGUGAAAUCUCCGGGCUUAACUCGGAAACUGCCGUUGAUACUCUCUGUCUUGAAUCCCGUGGAGGUGAGCGGAAUAUGUCAUGUAGCGGUGAAAUGCUUAGAUAUGACAUAGAGCACCGAUUGCGAAGGCAGCUCGCUACACGAAGAUUGACUCUGAGGCACGAAAGCGUGGGGAUCAAACAGG
rnacentral:misc_RNA from 1 species